UCUGCAAUUGGACUUUGGGAAGAUUGCCAGAUUUGGCGGGAAAAAAGACAGACUUGGCGAAAAAAUCUAGAUUUGGUCAACAAAUUUAAGACUUGGCGUGCAAAAGCAAAUCUAUCUAUCAAUUAUUCCAAACAAGCAAAUAGAAAUCCCCCCAACAACAAGUGACUCGUCACAAUUGCAAGAAUUUCCGGUAAGGAUUGUGCAUGACCAGAUUUAUUGUGUGCAACAACAACCGACAAAUCAAGUCAUUAUUCAACACAAUAUGUUUCAGAUUCUAUCUUGAAAUUAGACAAUUAGAAGACAAAAAGAUAUGCAAAUUUCAAGGAUCACGAACGUGACGUACGUCUUUAGUUAAGAAAAAAAUAAAACUUUUAUAUACUGUAUGUCAACUUAUUGUUUGCAAAA